rnacentral:tRNA from 1 species
GCCCAGGUAGCUCAGUAGGUAGAGCAGAGGACUGAAAAUCCUCGUGUCGGCGGUUCGAUUCCGUCCCUGGGCACCA